GAUAAACGCUGGCGGCGUGCCUAACACAUGCAAGUCGAACGUCCUCUCUCGCAAGAGAGAGGGAGUGGCGGACGGGUGAGUAACACAUGGGUCACCUACCCUUAAGUGAGGAAUACCGGCGAGAAAUCGCCGACAAGACCGCAUAGGCUCUCUCUUUUGCAAGAGAGAGCAAAGCUUCGCAAGAGGCGCUUGAGGAUGGGCCUGUGGCCGAUUAGCUGGUUGGAGGGUAAGUAGGCUUACCAAGGCGACGAUCGGUAGCUGGUCUGAGAGGACGAUCAGCCACACUGGGAUUGAGAACGG
rnacentral:rRNA from 1 species